AGAGUGAACGCUGGCGGUAGGCCUAACACAUGCAAGUCGAACGGCAGCACAGUAGGAGCUUGCUCUUACGGGUGGCGAGUGGCGGACGGGUGAGGAAUACAUCGGAAUCUACCUUUUGGUGGGGGAUAACGUAGGGAAACUUACGCUAAUACCGCAUACGCCCUUCGGGGGAAAGCCGGGGACCAGCAAUGGCCUGGCGCUGAUAGAUGAGCCGAUGUCGGAUUAGCUAGUUGGUGAGGUAAUGGCUCACCAAGGCGACGAUCCGUAGCUGGUCUGAGAGGAUGAUCAGCCACACUGGAACUGAGACACGGUCCAGACUCCGUACGGGAGCAGCAGGUGGGAAUA
rnacentral:rRNA from 1 species